rnacentral:rRNA from 1 species
GACGAACGCUGGCGGCGUGCUUAACACAUGCAAGUCGAACGGAAAGGCCCUGCUUUUGUGGGGUGCUCGAGUGGCGAACGGGUGAGUAACACGUGAGUAACCUGCCCUUGACUUUGGGAUAACUUCAGGAAACUGGGGCUAAUACCGGAUAGGAGCUCCUGCUGCAUGGUGGGGGUUGGAAAGUUUCGGCGGUUGGGGAUGAACUCGCGGCUUAUCAGCUUGUUGGUGGGGUAGUGGCUUACCAAGGCUUUGACGGGUAGCCGGCCUGAGAGGGUGACCGGCCACAUUGGGACUGAGAUACGGCCCAGACUCCUACGGGAGGCAGCAGUGGGGAAUAUUGCACAAUGGGCGGAAGCCUGAUGCAGCAACGCCGUGUGCGGGAUGACGGCCUUCGGGUUGUAAACCGCUUUCGCCUGUGACGAAGCGUGAGUGACGGUAAUGGGUAAAGAAGCACCGGCUAACUACGUG